AUUGAACGCUGUCGGCAGGCCUAACACAUGCACGUCUAACGAGUGGCGGACGGGUGAGUAAUGUCUGGGAAACUGCCCGAUGGAGGGGGAUAACUACUGGAAACGGUAGCUACUACCGCAUACCAUCGGAUGUGCCCAGAUGGGCUUAGCUAGUAGGUGGGGUAACGGCUCACCUAGGCGACUAUCCCUAGCUGUUCUGAGAGGAUGACAAGCCACACUGGAACUGAGACACGGGCCAGACUCCUACGGGAGGCAGCAGUGGGGAAGAUUGCACAAUGGGCGCAAGACUGAUGCAGCCAUGCCGCGUGUAUGAAGAAGGCCUUCGGGUUGUAAAGUACUUUCAGCGAGGAGGCGUUACUCGCAGAAGAAGCAUCGGCUAACGCCGUGCCAGCCGCCGCGGUAAUUC
rnacentral:rRNA from 1 species